CAACUUCUGAGCUCAGGUAAUCCACCCGCCUUGGCCUCCCAAAGUGCUUGGAUUACAGGUGUGAGCCACCGCGACCGGCCAGAUUUUCCCUUUUCUUCAACAGCGUUGAGAAGCACUAGUCAGACAUUCUGUCACAAGUCUCCCCACUGAGGCUGCAUGGAAACCCUUCGCUAGCGUCCCACAUGGAAUCCAAGAGCAGAAGGGGGAAGAAUCUCAUCGGUCCAGCUCUACUCAGGUGCCACUCCCUGUCUAAUCAACUGUGACUGGGCUCAUGUUACUCCUGCCCCCUUCCCCCCACAUACAUGCUGCAGGUGUCUGAGUAAUUGAUGUAGUUGUGGUGGUGAAUUGAGUGUAUCUGUUGCAUGAUUGAGCCCAUUGACAGCCAAGCUCACUGUGGCAGAACAUGCCCUUUCUCAUCCCUGCUUUGAGAAGUGUCUGCUGAAUGCCCAGCCUGCCCCACGAGGCAGGCGCCACCCUGCAGAGAUGGGACAUCUAGCAUUUGUAACACAUGUCACUGUGGGUGUCCUUUCUCUCGCAAACUAGGGAUUUUUUCUUCUUCUUCUUCUUUUUGUUUUUUUUUUUUUAGAUGGAGUCUUGCUCUGUCACCCAGGCUGGAGUGUAGUGGCGUGAUCUCGGCUCCCCACAACGUCUGCUUCCCGGAUUCAAGCGAUUCUCCUACCUUAGCCUCCCAAGUAGCUGGGACUACAGGCGUGCCACCAUGCCUGGCUAACUUUUUGUAUUUUUAGUAGAGACGGGGUUUUGCCAUGUUGGCCAGGCGGGUGGGAUUUCUUCUGUAUUGACAGGGCCAGCAUAGAGCAAGGCACAUAACAGGAGACUUUUGUUAAAUUAACAGAUGCACACUUCCUUUAAUAAUAUUUAGUGUGCUUUAUAGAUUCUUCCCCGUUUUUAUUAUUUAUUUGUGAGGACUUGUCCUUGCUUCAUAGAUGAGAAAACCCAGGCUCGGAGAGAUUAAAUCGCUUGCCCAGCCAUUUCUAAAAUGGAUUAAAUCCCUUGUUGUCUUGUUGUCUUUUGAAGCAGUUCACUGAGCACGUGACUCAUGCCACCACCUAUUGAUGUCUUGGGAUUCUGGAGCAUCAGCUGGCCUCUGCUAUCAAUAAGCCUGCUUCGGGCAGCUUCCUCUCCCUUUUUAUGGAAUGGACUAAGAAAUCUACAUGGUUGGGGUUGUGCGAAAAUCAAGAGCAGUGAGGUUUAGGCUGGAGAUCUGGAGACAUUCGUUACAGAAUAAAACAUAUGAAACAGUGCACGGGCUUUGUGACAGCUUGUUUGUCUCCUCAGAAGCCAUUUUUGCUCAGUCCUACAUUUAGAAAGAACCCAGAUUCAACUAGAAAUUGGCUCUCUGAAUACAGAGGAUGCCUUUGAAUUCCGAUUUUGUCAGUAGGGGUGAUGGAGAACACUGGCAUCUCUGCAAUAUGCUUUUGAAAAUAAAAUGCUUCAUAAUAAAAUGCUCUGGCCGUUUCCCCUAAAUCCCAUUUCCCCCCCCCAAUUCAGCCGCCUGACGUCCUAAAACAUUGCCCUAACAUCUAUACAUUCAUCUUAAUCUGAGGCACCCA
rnacentral:lncRNA from 10 species